rnacentral:rRNA from 1 species
UGGGGAAUUUUGGACAAUGGGCGAAAGCCUGAUCCAGCAAUGCCGCGUGUGUGAAGAAGGCCUUCGGGUUGUAAAGCACUUUUGUCCGGAAAGAAAUGGCUCUGGUUAAUACCUGGGGUCGAUGACGGUACCGGAAGAAUAAGGACCGGCUAACUACGUGCCAGCAGCCGCGGUAAUACGUAGGGUCCAAGCGUUAAUCGGAAUUACUGGGCGUAAAGCGUGCGCAGGCGGUUGUGCAAGACCGAUGUGAAAUCCCCGAGCUUAACUUGGGAAUUGCAUUGGUGACUGCACGGCUAGAGGGUGUCAGAGGGGGGUAGAAUUCCACGUGUAGCAGUGAAAUGCGUAGAGAUGUGGAGGAAUACCGAUGGCGAAGGCAGCCCCCUGGGAUAACACUGACGCUCAUGCACGAAAGCGUGGGGAGCAAACAGG